UACGUAGGGUGCGAGCGUUUGUCCGGAAUUAUUGGGCGUAAAGAGCUCGUAGGCGGUGUGUCACGUCGGCCGUGAAAACCUGGGGCUUAACUCUGGGCGUGCGGUCGAUACGGGCAUCACUAGAGUUCGGCAGGGGAGACUGGAAUUCCUGGUGUAGCGGUGAAAUGCGCAGAUAAUCAGGAGGAACAGCCGGUGGGCGAAAGGGCGG
rnacentral:rRNA from 1 species